AGCUGAUAAAAUAUCUAAAAUUGUGAACAUAAUUCAAACGACCGGUAUGUACACAGUGCUGCCAACUUACCCUGACCACCAUGAUGUUCGGGAAAAAUGUGUGCGUCUCACGUUCGAAAUGAUACUUUUCUUUUUUCCUUCCAGGUCCACGUUUCGUUAUGUUAUAACCUUAAAUCAUAUACUAUCAUGUUGGUAGCACUGCGUCCGCGAGACAUUUUUCGGGCUCGUUCCACGGCGUCAUCGUCACAUCUUUCACAAACAAAUUUGUUCCUGAAUCAAGCAGAACUCGCCGUUCCGCUCCGAAUUUUCUCGUCUUUGAUUUGUCGUUAGCCCGACUAUGAGGGCUAAGUGGCGUAAGAAGCGUAUGCGUAGGUUGAAGCGCAAGAGGAGGAAGAUGCGUGCAAGGUCCAAGUAAACCUCGUGGCCUGCUCCCGGACAUAUUGACAUGUUUUGGUAAACAUUAAACGAUAUUGUAACUUUUAUAUUGAAUCAUCUAAACAGUAAUAAACACUUUCUGUUCAACGUAUAAA